ACUCCUACGGGAGGCAGCAGUGAGGAAUAUUGGUCAAUGGCCGCAAGGCUGAACCAGCCAAGUCGCGUGAGGGAAUAAGGCCCUAUGGGUCGUAAACCUCUUUUGUCAGGGAGCAAAGCCGCACACGAGUGAGCGGAAGGAGAGUACCUGAAGAAAAAGCAUCGGCUAACUCCGUGCCAGCAGCCGCGGUAAUA
rnacentral:rRNA from 1 species